rnacentral:lncRNA from 13 species
AGGCUGAGCAUGUGGAUUAAAACCAUCUUUCUAAAGGCCACAGUUUUAAGAAUCUAAAAAAUAGACAGAAAUUCCACUUCUAGGCUGUACUUUCCCUAACUCUAUACCCAGUGAAGGACCAAUCUCCAAAGGAUGUGCAAAGGCACCUUUGCCAUUGACCGGGCAGACCCUGAAUCCAGAGGACAUGGAGAGAAAGGAGUUUGCAUCAGCUUUCUGACAGGCCCCACAUCAGCAAAACGUCCUUGUGAUUAUGAAUGCUGGAAUGAGAGACAGACUCCAAGAGCAACAGCUGGGGGAGGGGCCUGCUCUGGCCCCAGUGGCCCCUUGUAGGCAGAUAAGGCAGCUGGCUAGACCUCCUCUUUGUCAUUCACUCUGAUUUUAUUUUUUAUCUACUCCUCCCAGCCUCACCUGCUUCCAUGCCGCUAAUGUUACUAAUGUUUCUGGGCAUGUGCUUGGAAAUGCAAAUGAGAGUUCCUGGUAGUUUCCUAGUUUCCUUGCUCUCCUUUGCCAAGUUUAUUCUGGGGAAAGGACUCUCAGUUAAAAAAAAAAAAUCCAAAUUUUGAGCACCAGCUCUUUAAUGCCAGCUUCCUGAGGAACUGGAACUGCCCAGCUCUGCAAUAAUCUGGAACAGAGGUGCCAUCACAGACUUGGCUCUGACAGGUGGAACAGCAAGAAGCCUCGCUCUCACGUGGGAUGUGCCCCUUCUGGCCUGGAGAGAAGGCCCAGAGAAACCACCAGCUGAUUACUCAUUGCACUCUACCUCAGAGUGCAGUAAAAGGGAGACGCAUGAUCAGUUGUUGUCAUCUCAUCCGUGACGCAGCAUCUCACUGGCGACCACAGCAGAGAAAAGGCUACUUUUGUAAAACUAGAACAUGAACUACACGGAGGCCCCAGAGGAGGUCUCUGCUGCCCUCUGUUGCUGGGUUCUUAGUAACCCUAACCAGUUUUAAGAAUACAGGAUUUGAUUUCAGUAACUUUAUUAUAUGAAAAGUAUGCUUGGAGGAAAAAAUGUUUCAAAUUUAGUCAGUCCUGGGUACUAUCAACAUUUUAAAUUGUUGCCAAUCUAAUAGGGGCAAAUGGUAUCUCGUUGCUAUUUUAAUUUGCAUUUUAAAAAUUCUAAGUGAGGCCCAAAAUAGUUUAUUGUUUUAUUUUUCCAGUUUUCUGCCAGUGGGUAUAGUUUGCUUUUUUUUUUUUAAUCUUUUUCUUCUUGAUUUGGAGAAGUUUUUGCUGUAAAUGUGUUUCUUUUUAUACCAACAUUUUUCUCUGUUAUAUCAUCAAAUUUAACAGGCUUUUCUUUAUGACUUCU